UACGUAGGGUGCAAGCGUUAAUCGGAAUUACUGGGCGUAAAGCGUGCGCAGGCGGUUGUGCAAGACAGAUGUGAAAUCCCCGGGCUCAACCUGGGAAUUGCAUUUGUGACUGCACGGCUAGAGUGUGUCAGAGGGGGGUAGAAUUCCACGUGUAGCAGUGAAAUGCGUAGAGAUGUGGAGGAACACCGAUGGCGAAGGCAGCCUCCUGGGCCAACACUGACGCUCAUGCACGAAAGCGUGGGGAGCAAACAGG
rnacentral:rRNA from 1 species